rnacentral:ncRNA from 10 species
AUCGUUCAUCCCUAGUGGGACGGAAGUAAGUGAAUACUGAAGGAACGCGGC